AAGUCGUAACAAGGUAUCCGUAGGUGAACCUGCGGAUGGAUCAUUAUUGAAUAUCCACAUACACCCCAACUUUGAAUGUUUUGGCGGGGGCCGAGAGGCCUGACCCGCACUUUAACGCGAAAACAUGGACGAAAUAACCAAUGAGAACAACUUUUAACAACGGAUCUCUUGGCUCUC
rnacentral:misc_RNA from 1 species